UUUUUUUUUUUUUUUUUUUUUUUUUAAUCAGAGCCCUUCCUAGGGGUGUUGGGCAAGGGCACUGUCACCACCCAGAAGAGCAGGGUACAUCUACCCUAGGCAAAGUUCUUCAAGAUUUCUGUUUAAGGACCAAAUGUUCACAUUGGCCCCCAAAUUCACAAGUGAUAGUAAGCCCCAAUGGGAUGGUAUCUGGAGGUGGGACCUUUGGAAGGUAAUCAGGUUUGGAUGAGGUCAUGAGGGUAGGGCUCCCUUGAUGAGAUUGGUGUCCUUAUAAGAAGGGAGACACCAGGGAUCCCUGGGUGGCGCAGCGGUUUGGCGCCUGCCUUUGGCCCAGGGCGCGAUCCUGGAGACCCGGGAUCGAAUCCCACAUCAGGCUCCCAGUGCAUGGAGCCUGCUUCUCCCUCUGCCUGUGUCUCUGCCUCUCUCUCUCUCUCUCUGUGACUAUCAUAAAUAAAUUAAAAAAAAAAAAAAAAAGAAGGGAGACACCAGAGCUCUCUCUCUCCACCUCGGGAGGAUAUAGCAAGAAGGUGGCCCUGCUGGGACACCUGGAUGACUCAGUCAGUUAAGUAUCUGUUACCUUGCGCUCUGAUCAUAAUCCCUGGGUCCUGGGAUCAAGCCCCACAUUGGGUUCCCUGCUCAAUGGGGAGUCAGCUUCUCCCUCUCCCUCUGCCUGCUGCUCUGCCUACUUGUAUGCUGUCUCUAUCAAAUAAAUAAAUAUAAUGAAGAAGAAGAAAGAAGUAAGAAGAAAGAAGAAGAAGAAAGCAGGCAUGCCAAAGCCAGGAUGAGAGCCCUCACCAGAACAAAAUCUGCCAGCACUUUGACCUUGGACAUCCCAGCCCUCAAAACUGCAAGAAAUCAGUAUCUGUUGUUUAGGCAACCCAAGCAGACUAAGACACCAUCAUUGCUUCCACUGUACCAUUUCCUUUUCUCUGGGGUAGCUUUCUCUUCUCUUCACAUUAAAUCUUCCUCUCAAAUAAAGAUCCCACCUAUUUCACAAGCUCUGAAGCUAAUCUGAUGAUCUCCAAAGUUUGGGAAUCAUUGGGGUGGUGGUUAAGUGCAUGGGCUUUGGACUAAGCAAUUUAUAAAAAUAACUAAAAGUGGAUUUUGAGCAUGGGUCGGCUAAUCCCUCACCCCGUGGCUCAUUUUCCUCAUGUAUAUGUGGAUAAUACUUGCCUGAUGAGGUUGUGGUGUGAUUUAUUGAUUUCAUCAAUGUCACACCUCUUGCGUUGGGUGUAGGCACAGAGUAGGAAGUCAGGAAACAUUCGCUUCCUUUUUUCCUUACUUGCAGUCAUGAAUGCCAAGGACAGUUUACAUUUAGCAGAAACUUUAGUUCAAAGGAAAAAGCUAAAAUGGAAGAAUUUCAAGCACAAACCCCUGAGUGGAGAAGAUAUGUGGUGGUAGGGAGGAACAUUUGGGGACCAAGGACCUUGGUGUUUCACCUUGUCCACAAGACGAUUGUGGACAUGGGUCAUUGCCAUCACCCCAAAACAAGAAGAGUGUGUUGUGAGGCUCAGUACACUUUCCGCACAUGCACACACACAUCUGCUCAGGAUCAGGAUUGGCUCUGGAUUGC
rnacentral:lncRNA from 1 species